rnacentral:lncRNA from 1 species
UGGACGGCGUGGACGGGCUCUGUGCGUCGUGCGUGCGGGUCCACGCGCGGCUGCGUGAGCGCGCACUCAGGUGAAUGGAGCGGGGGAGAGAGAAGGAGGAGAGAGAAGGAGAGAAGGAGAGGAGGAGAGAAGGAGAGGAGGAGAGGAGGAGAGAAGAGGGAGAGGAGGAGAGAAGAGGAGGAGAGAAGGAGAGAGAGAGGGAGAGGAGGAGAGAAGGAGAGGAGGAGAGGAGGAGAGGAGGAGAGAAGGAGAGAAGGAGAGGAGGAGAGAAGGAGAGGAGGAGAGAAGGAGAGAGAGGAGGAGAGAGAGGAAGAGAGAGAGGAGGAGAGAGGAAUGAGAGAGAGAGGAGGAGAGAGGAAGAGAGAGGAAGAGAGAGAGGAGGAGAGUGGGCUGCGCUCCUGCCUGCGUCGCAGAACAACUGACAAGCGGACAAAAUGGGCUCUGGUGCGGCGAGCGGGACGCGGCGCGUCGCGCUGUACCUGCUGUGGUUCGCGGGAUGCGCUGCGCAGAAAGUUUACUUUGACUGUGGCGCUAAGGUGGAUGUGGUGGACGUCCAGGGCCUAAUACUGUCCCCUGGGUUUCCCUAUAACUAUUCCUCUGGGACACACUGUGUGUGGCAGUUCUUUGUGCCUGUGGGCCACCAGCUCAUCAUGGAGAUGUUUGACUUUGAUGUGUUUGAGAGUCACAGCAGCCAGACAAGAUUAGCCACAUUGUCAGAGGUUAACAUGGACAAUGAGAUGAUGGACGAUGGCAUGAUUAUCACACCCCUUAGUUCCAGUGUUGAGGACAGCACUUUGUUAGUAAAAAGCCUCGCCACACAAGGCAGCACUGUUAAGGAGCCUCAGGCCAUGCAGAAGGAUGAAGAGAAGCAAGUGGUCGUUCAAGAGCAGUCCACCAAAAUGGAGAUGGCUAAAGUUGUCUCUAAUUCUGCCAAAUGGUCUCCGUCUUCAUCAUCUGCUCCGCCUUUGCAGCAACUGUCCUCUGAAGUGGUGUCCGGAGCAGACCCUGUGGGUGGCAAAGCCCAGAAUUCUGUCUCUCCUCAAGCCCUUCAAGGGGAGGUAAGGACUAGAAAUGAGGCCACCUUGCCUCCACCUUCCCCCACAGAGACUGAACCAGAGAGCCUAGGGACCCAGCAGUCAGCACUGGAUGCAUGUCCCCACGAUGUCCUCUACAUCUCCGACCUCAUCACCUUCUCGUCCAGAUUCUGUGGUGCCAACAGGCCAGCCAGCAGCCAGCUGGUGUUUGGCUCCUCUGAGGAGAUGGUGGAGGUGAUCAUGGAGCUCAUCACUACAACCCAUUGGGGCAGAGGCUUUGCCCUUCUCUUUCAAUACCGGAAUCACACUGAACUGGGGGAAAACCCGCAGCCUCUUGGCCCCACAGCCAGGAAGAUGGACGCUUUGAUGGCCAUUCUGAGUGGUGGCGCCUUUUUUAUCGUGGCACUCACCAGCGUACUGUGUGUGAUAUUCAGACCAAAGCUAUGUGCAAAAGGAGCCAGCGCCUCUUUCUCCAGCAACACAGAGACACCGGAGCGGGCACGGAGUCCGGGGGUGGAUGCCAGUGAACUGCAGCUGGUGCCUCCUGAGCACCUCGGCCAGGAGGUCACACUAGAGAAGGACAACAACAACCUCUCCUCCAGCCCGGUCCUGCCACACUCAGGUUCUCCAGCUGCUGAUGUUUCCCACAGUCGUGAGCUGGAGACGUCAUCCAGUGGACUCACAGAGCUGGAACUGGGGACGGAUGAGGUCUUUGUGAUUUCGUCAGGGCCCAGUCCCAGCCGAUUGCCAUUCUGUGCCCACACACAACGGGAAAGAUUUCUUAGGCACAGUGACACUGGUCCAUCCCACCUGAGCGACUGGCCUUCUCCAGAACCCUCGGCCCAGCCCGCUGCAGCCAGUCCUGUUAGUCCCUCCAGUACGCGACCAAGGGCAUGGAGUGUACGAACCUUUCAAGACCUCCUGCCCCCCCUGCCGCAGCUGCAUAAGAAAUGGUGCAGCUGGAACUCGACCAGUCCUUUCACCAAGCUGGUUGACAGUGCACCAGCCAACUCUGCAUCUGACUAUAGCGAGGAUGGUAAGCGGAAGGUCCUUUCUGAUGUUCUGCUUGGGGUCAAAGGUGAAAGCUGUUACUCCGAUUCAUCCAUGAGCAACGCUUCGUACCCGCUUUCCCAGCCAGCUCAGAGGCAACGGCGCCUCAAUUCCAUCAGCAACCUGCGGCGCUCCCGUUUCACUGCUCCUUGCUUCGGCCUCCUCUCUGGAGCCUCUGACAGUGCCAAGGUCCCCACUGGUUCUUCGGGACCACCCGUUGUCCCCCAGGUCCCAGAGCACGUCAGCAGACCCGCUGGUCAGCUUCAGGCAGGGGAAGCACAGGGCGGAAAGGGCAAAGAUUUUCCCGGAGGAGACGAUCACAGCAGCGUGCCAGUGUUUGCCAUUUCUGAAGAGGAGGACCGGCAACCCCUGGUCCUGGCCGAGCACCUCACCCUGCCUCACAUGCAGAACGGACUGAAGCAGGAGUCUCAGGAGGGAAGGAGGCCUGCCGACUGUAGUCCCAAUUUGCAGUGUCCAGUCAACGGAUCCCUUCGGCUGAAGGGCAGGUCAGAGUGGAGGCCGUGGGUAAACAGCAGCAGCGGAGCAGGCGGGCUUCUCUCUCCCGGCGCAGCGGCGGCGGCCACCGCAGAGCCGCUCAGCACUUCCAGCCAGAUACAGCUGCCUUCCCCGGGCCAGUCGUCCGUCCAGUGCAGCUUAAUGGGCAAGGACAUGUGACCGAGAGAGUCUGGACAGAGACGCGGCUCCUAGACUGCAUCAGACAUUACGUUGUCAAAGUCAUCUGGACAGAGUACCUUUGUGUGAUUCUCUUGAUCAAGUAAUCUGUCAGAUUAUUAAUGGCAGCCUUUAGAUUUACUGAAAAACUAUAUUUUUGUCUUCCAUUUUUGCUACUUGUGCUCAAGACCCUUUGUUCUGGGUUGAUUUAAAACCAUAUAUAUAUAUAUAUAUAUAUAUUUCAUUUUAUGUUUAUUCAAGAAAUCAGCAGUUGUAUGAAAAACCUGGUCAUUGUUUCAGAUUAACGUGAAACAAAUUAUAUCAUUUACAUUAAAUUAACGAGUUCGGAGGAUCACAAGCAACUGCUGUUUUCUAUGCUUUCAUAAAGGUGUUCAGAUCUUGUGCUUAUUUGGAAAAAUGUAGCUUGUGCCCUCCCCCCAGCAUAAGUGCAAUUCCAAAUACCUGUUUUUUUCCACAUCGGCUUGUCCUUAAUCCUUCAGCAACACGUAGACCAAUUAGCAUGGACCUACUAGAAAGGAGCUUGGCAAUCACUCUCUGCCUCCGAUUCAUAACUUUAUUCAAGGGUCCAACAUGCUUUCGCAGGCUAAUAUACACACAUAAAUAUAAUUUAUUUUUUUUCCCCUCCCAAGUGUCCUUGCUGGUGGGACAGGCUGAGCAGCUCACUGUUCUCAUAUGUACUGAAGACAUAGUGUCUUUUUAAUGUCAGUUUACAUACUCACUGUCUUAAGGCUCCAGUCAUUUAAUCAAAUGCCACUCAUUUACACUUAUUUCACUUAAACUUGUUCUGCGGUUUUUGAAAGGGAAUGGAUAGAUGUAACUAACACAUUAAUGCACACCGCUGUUGCUGAUAGUUUUACUGGGUUGACUGGGUUGACAGGAGCGAUGUGAGGUGAACUGUAAUAAAAUAAAACGCGCCGUCUGCCUGUUGCGCUCA